AUUAUAUAGUAGAGAGUGAGAUACUGAGAAAUACACAGUGACAUAUUUUCCAUAUCUUCACUAGUGAAGAUAUCGAUCACGUGACUUUUAGUAUUUAUACAAUUUUUUGCUUGGGACUAUAUAAUAAACAGAACAUUACACGUUGGCUUGAAGAUAUGACUUUUAUCUUCUCGUGUUAAAAACAAUAUUUUACUCACUCGCUGCG